rnacentral:miRNA from 1 species
UCGCUGCAACAGUUAGCUAG